rnacentral:rRNA from 1 species
GAUGAACGCUGGCGGCGUGCCUAAUACAUGCAAGUCGAGCGAACGGACGAGAAGCUUGCUUCUCUGAUGUUAGCGGCGGACGGGUGAGUAACACGCGGAUAACCUACCUAUAAGACUGGGAUAACUUCGGGAAACCGGAGCUAAUACCGGAUAAUAUUUUGAACCGCAUGGUUCAAAAGUGAAAGACGGUCUUGCUGUCACUUAUAGAUGGAUCCGCGCUGCAUUAGCUAGUUGGUAAGGUAACGGCUUACCAAGGCAACGAUGCAUAGCCGACCUGAGAGGGUGAUCGGCCACACUGGAACUGAGACACGGUCCAGACUCCUACGGGAGGCAGCAGUAGGGAAUCUUCCGCAAAGGGCGAAAGCCUGACGGAGCAACGCCGCGUGAGUGAUGAAGGUCUUCGGACCGUAAAACUCUGUUAUUAGGGAAGAACAUAUGUGUAAGUAACUGUGCACAUCUUGACGGUACCUAAUCAGAAAGCCACGGCUAACUACGUG